AGUCGAGCGGGGAAGGUAGCUUGCUACUGGACCUAGCGGCGGACGGGUGAGUAAUGCUUAGGAAUCUGCCUAUUGGUGGGGGACAACAUCUCGAAAGGGAUGCUAAUACCGCAUACGUCCUACGGGAGAAAGCAGGGGAUCUUCGGACCUUGCGCUAAUAGAUGAGCCUAAGUCGGAUUAGCUAGUUGGUGGGGUAAAGGCCUACCAAGGCGACGAUCUGUAGCGGGUCUGAGAGGAUGAUCCGCCACACUGGGACUGAGACACGGCCCAGACUCCUACGGGAGGCAGCAGUGGGGAAUAUUGGACAAUGGGCGCAAGCCUGAUCCAGCCAUGCCGCGUGUGUGAAGAAGGCCUUAUGGUUGUAAAGCACUUUAAGCGAGGAGGAGGCUACUUUAGAUAAUACCUAGAGAUAGUGGACGUUACUCGCAGAAUAAGCACCGGCUAACUCUGUGCCAGCAGCCGCGGUAAUACAGAGGGUGCAAGCGUUAAUCGGAUUUACUGGGCGUAAAGCGCGCGUAGGCGGCUAAUUAAGUCAAAUGUGAAAUCCCCGAGCUUAACUUGGGAAUUGCAUUCGAUACUGGUUAGCUAGAGUGUGGGAGAGGAUGGUAGAAUUCCAGGUGUAGCGGUGAAAUGCGUAGAGAUCUGGAGGAAUACCGAUGGCGAAGGCAGCCAUCUGGCCUAACACUGACGCUGAGGUGCGAAAGCAUGGGGAGCAAACAGGAUUAGAUACCCUGGUAGUCCAUGCCGUAAACGAUGUCUACUAGCCGUUGGGGCCUUUGAGGCUUUAGUGGCGCAGCUAA
rnacentral:rRNA from 1 species